AUGGAAUUCCUCAGAAAAAGGCCCUUAUUCCUCAGGAAGCUUUGUAAACACAGUGUGGAACAUGUACCUUGGGAAGGCCCAGAAGGCAACAGGGCUGCCAGACUCUGAGUAAAUAUCAGUGAUCCUUGGUGGAGUUCUAUGGCACUUCCCCUGUGACCUCCCCAACGGGUUGCUGUGUCAAGCGGGUUUCAGACCAGGUUCUGCCACCUGCGCAGCAGCGUCUCGGCACUCAGACACGGAAAUGCUCGAGAACCUGUUCCUGGAAGUUCAGCCAAGCCUCUGCUCUCUGUGCUAGUGGUUCUUAGUUUCCCUCUUGUGUGGAAAAAAUAAUAAACUGACUUGGCAUAAAUGGUGCUUGACCACCUGGCGCAAGGUGGUCCUCUUUACCUCUAGCCCCAGGCUGUGGUUUGCAUGUGGCUUGUAGUCCCGAGGUUCACAUACUACUGGUCCUUAAGGGUGAGGCCUAGUGGGAGG
rnacentral:lncRNA from 1 species